GACGAACGCUGGCGGCGUGCUUAACACAUGCAAGUCGAACGAUGAAGCCGGAGCUUGCUCUGGUGAAUUAGUGGCGAACGGGUGAGUAACACGUGAGUAACCUGCCCUUGACUCUGGGAUAACUGCUAGAAAUGGUAGCUAAUACCGGAUACGACCCUCGGAGGCAUCUCCAGGGGGUGGAAAGAAUUUCGGUCAAGGAUGGACUCGCGGCCUAUCAGCUAGUUGGUGAGGUAACGGCUCACCAAGGCGACGACGGGUAGCCGGCCUGAGAGGGUAACCGGCCACGCUGGGGCUGAGACACGGCCCAGACUCCUACGGGAGGCAGCAGUGGGGAAUAUUGCACAAUGGGCGCAAGCCUGAUGCAGCAACGCCGCGUGAGGGAUGACGGCCUUCGGGUUGUAAACCUCUUUGAGUAGGGAAGAAGCGAAAGUGACGGUACCUGCAGAAAAAGCACCGGCUAACUACGUGCCAGCCGCCGCCGUAA
rnacentral:rRNA from 1 species